UACGUAGGGAGCAAGCGUUGUCCGGAAUCAUUGGGCGUAAAGCGCGCGUAGGUGGCCUCGUAAGUCCGCUGUAAAAGUCAAAGGCUCAACCUUUGAAAGCCGGUGGAUACUGCGGGGCUAGAGUACGGAAGAGGCGAGUGGAAUUCCUGGUGUAGCGGUGAAAUGCGCAGAUAUCAGGAGGAACACCGGUGGCGAAGGCGGUUCUCUGGGCAUGUCCUGACGCUGAGGAGCGAAAGUGUGGGGAGCGAACAGG
rnacentral:rRNA from 1 species